GUCUAUUUGAGGAUAUAAAUGGUCUGGCCUGCUCACUGAUAAGUAAUUUAAGAGCCGCGGUAUUUUGACCGUGCAAAGGUAGCAUAAUCAUUAGGGGUUUAAUUGGAACCUGGUAUGAAGGGUUGGACAAAGGAGAAGCUGUCUUUAUACUAUAAGUUGAAUUUUACUUUUAAGUGAAAAGGCUUAAAUGAGUCAAAGGGACGAUAAGACCCUAUAAAGCUUUAUAAAUUAUUAAAUUUAGUUAAUUUAAAAUAUAAAAAUUAAAUUUAUAUUAUUUUAUUUUAUUGGGGCGAUAUGAGUAUAAUUGUUAUUAACUGCUUAAAAAAGAAACAAGUUUAGGUGAAUAUUAAAUUAAAUGAUCCUUUUUAAAGAUUAGAAGACUAAGUUACUUUAGGGAUAACAGCGUUAUUUCUUUUGAGAGUUCAUAUCGAAAAAGAAGAUUGCGACCUCGAUGUUGAAUUAAAAUAUCUAUAUAAUGCAGCCGUUAUAAAAGAGGGUCUGUUCGACCUUUAAAUUUUU
rnacentral:rRNA from 1 species